UACGUAGGGGGCAAGCGUUGUCCGGAAUCACUGGGCGUAAAGCGCACGUAGGCGGAUCUUUAAGUCAGGGGUGAAAUCCCGAGGCUCAACCUCGGAACUGCCUUUGAUACUGGGGAUCUCGAGUCCGGGAGAGGUGAGUGGAACUGCGAGUGUAGAGGUGAAAUUCGUAGAUAUUCGCAAGAACACCAGUGGCGAAGGCGGCUCACUGGCCCGGAACUGACGCUGAGGUGCGAAAGCGUGGGGAGCAACAGGG
rnacentral:rRNA from 1 species